rnacentral:rRNA from 1 species
UGAACGCUGGCGGCGUGCCUAAUACAUGCACGUCGAGCGAACAGACGCGGAGCUUGCUCCUCUGACGUUAGCGGCGGACGGGUGAGUAACACGUGGAUAACCUACCUAUAAGACUGGGAUAACUUCGGGAAACCGGAGCUAAUACCGGAUAAUAUAUUGAACCGCAUGGUUCAAUAGUGAAAGACGGUUUUGCUGUCACUUAUAGAUGGAUCCGCGCCGCAUUAGCUAGUUGGUAAGGUAACGGCUUACCAAGGCAACGAUGCGUAGCCGACCUGAGAGGGUGAUCGGCCACACUGGAACUGAGACACGGUCCAGACUCCUACGGGAGGCAGCAGUAGGGAAUCUUCCGCAAUGGGCGAAAGCCUGACGGAGCAACGCCGCGUGAGUGAUGAAGGUCCUCGGAUCGUAAAACUCUGUUAUUAGGGAAGAACAAAUGUGUAAGUAACUAUGCACGUCUUGACGGUACCUAAUCAGAAAGCCACGGCUAACUACGUG